rnacentral:rRNA from 1 species
CAGUAGCCGCGGUAAUACGGAGGGGGCUAGCGUUGUUCGGAAUUACUGGGCGUAAAGCGUACGUAGGCGGCUUUGUAAGUUAGAGGUGAAAGCCCGGGGCUCAACCCCGGAAUUGCCUUUAAGACUGCAUCGCUUGAAUCGCGGAGAGGUGAGUGGAAUUCCGAGUGUAGAGGUGAAAUUCGUAGAUAUUCGGAAGAACACCAGUGGCGAAGGCGGCUCACUGGACGCGUAUUGACGCUGAGGUACGAAAGCGUGGGGAGCAAACAGGAUUAGAUACCCCCGUAGUCCCUGUCUCUUAUAA